ACUGCUCAGUAACACGUGGACAACCUGCCCUUAGGUUGGGUAUAAACCCGGGAAACUGGGUAUAAUACCCGAUAGGUCUCGAUUGCUGGAAUGCAUCGAGAUUUAAAGCUCCGGCGCCUAAGGAUGGGUCUGCGGCCUAUCAGGUAGUAGUGGGUGUAGCGUACCUACUAGCCUACGACGGGUACGGGUUGUGAGAGCAAGAGCCCGGAGAUGGAUUCUGAGACACGAAUCCAGGCCCUACGGGGUGCAGCAGGCGCGAAAACUUUACAAUGCUGGCAACAGCGAUAAGGGAACCUCGAGUGCCAGGUUACAAAUCUGGCUGUCGAGAUGCCUAAAAAGCAUUUCAUAGCAAGGGCCGGGCAAGACCGGUGCCAGCCGCCUCGGUAACACCGGCGGCUCGAGUGGUAACCGUUAUUAUUGGGUCUAAAGGGUCUGUAGCCGGCCGGAUAAGUCUCUUGAGAAAUCUGGCAGCUUAACUGUCAGGCUUUCAGGAGAUACUGUCUGGCUCGAGGCCGGGAGAGGUGAGAGGUACUUCAGGGGUAGGGGUGAAAUCUUGUAAUCCUUGAAGGACCACCAGUGGCGAAGGCGUCUCACCAGAACGGACCUGACGGCAAGGGACGAAAGCUAGGGGCACGAACCGGAUUAGAUACCCGGGUAGUCCUAGCCGUAAACGAUACUCGCUAGGUGUCGGCCACGGUGCGACCGUUGUCGGUGCCGUAGGGAAGCCGUGAAGCGAGCCACCUGGGAAGUACGGCCGCAAGGCUGAAACUUAAAGGAAUUGGCGGGGGAGCAC
rnacentral:rRNA from 1 species